UACGGGGGGAGCAAGCGUUGUUCGGAUUUACUGGGCGUAAAGAGCGUGUAGGCGGCCAAACAGGUCCGUUGUGAAAACUGGAGGCUCAACCUCCAGACGUCGACGGAAACCGUGUGGCUAGAGUCCGGAAGAGGAGAGUGGAAUUCCUGGUGUAGCGGUGAAAUGCGCAGAGUAUCAGGAAGAACACCAAUGGCGAAGGCAGCGUCUCUGGGACGGUACUGACGCUGAGACGCGAAAGCGUGGGGAGCGAACAGG
rnacentral:rRNA from 1 species